GGGGGGGGGGGGGGGCUGCUUAUGAAGGGAUUGAACAAAGAGGGGGUGGAACAAGGGGAAAAACAGAAGGAUGAAUAACAGGGCCCGCCACACCUCACAUAACUCUGUUCCUACUGAUCAAUUCAAAAUGCCAAUGAUCUGUGGACUAUACAUUACAUACCCAGAAGCAACGCAACCGACUACAACCAAAACUCAGUGUCUACGUUGUUUCACGCAUUCAUGUGAUAUGAUCCCAAACGCUACAUAUAUCAACACGCCCUUAGAAUAUGUGAUUGCAAAAAUUCUCAAAACGCCUUUGUUUUCUCGUUACAUAAACAUUUACCAUUGCAACACAGUACGCCACCUUUUGCAGUGUAACGUUACAAGUCAAAACAAGCAGUAGGCGAGGCAAGUAAACGCCAUUCCAAUAGACACUAUAAUUUAUAAAAAAAAAUACAAAAUGCCACCGCUGGUCCGGAAGAGUCGACACAAACUUUAUCCAAGCUUGAAAUCUCUCAAACAGCUUCUUUCCCAAUCAAGAGAGAGAGAACUUUUAUCCAUUUCUCAUCUAUGAUGUUGAUGUAGCGUACUGCAAGGUGUCUGGAUCUAUCUGUCUGGUGGAUCUCUCUCUGACUCAUGUCAGGACAUUGUCACUGUCUGCAGGACGGCCUAAUGACAGACCUGUUAGCGGUGUCAUGACGACAGCCUCAUCUUCAGACGACGUGACACCAACCUCAGUCCUUACCUGUCUCUAUGCCACAGCCCACAAUAGUGGAACAUAACAUGUGUCACUCCAGGUGGAAUGUGUCUUUGUACAGCAUGCAUAGUGACUUCUUAACAGUUGCUCAUGGCAACGCUGUUGGGGGUUUUCAGUGCCAAGGAUUUGCCAGCACCAGCUGUUGACAGGUGCUCCGUGAGGUCAGAGACAUGUGUGGCUGCCUGAGGGUGGAGGAACUUCCUGUCUGAAGUGGUGGUGAAUCAGCUUAGUCAGGAUUGGCUAAUGUUCUCUGUCAUCACAGGAAUGUCAUUACUGCAUGACUCACCUGUCUGGUCCGCCCCCCCCCCCCAUCCCAUCCCUCAGGGACACUAUUCUGAUAACCUGGGAAUCCAGACGGAUGCUUUUAUGUACACUAAUUAUUGAAACCAAAUGACGUGAAUAAAUAAAAGACAGUGGCGAUGAAUCCAAUCUAUUGUUUGUCACUGCCAUCUUGUGGUUGCAGGGAAACUUGAGAUCUUAGUGACAUGUUUGCUUGAAGUGUGCUUGUGUGUCAUAGAUGACGUUGGAGACAUCUUUCAUCUCGUCGUUCCCGCCUCAUCUAGUGUGACUCACUCCACUUGUGUGUCUCCCUCUGUGUUAACUGCUUACGAUGCAGAUGUGACUUUAACUCCAGAGGGGGUCAUUCAAGGGCGUAGGAGCAUCAGCAGAUUGCAACAUUGAGAAUUGACCCACCACUGUAGAAGACAUAUAGAGCUGACUUAAUGGAUAAAUCAAAUAAACAAGCCUUGCACAGGAGAGUAAAGUAUUUUUAUUAAAAUCAUGCACAUCACAGGUGUUAGUGCAAAUAUUUGUUUUUAUCUGUACUCCGGAUAUUCUAGUGUAACUUUAUCUUUUCUUUACAAAAUAGAAUUUCAACAAUUAUUUACUUAAAAAAAAGUAAUUCUGAAGUUAAUAUUCUGAACAAUAUUUGCAAACAAAACUAUUUACAUACGGUCUAAUGUGCCACUGGGUUGGUUAGUGAUUGUAAUGGAUGGUUUGAAAAUCAUAUUUUUUUUCAGGAGGAGAAAAAGAAAAACCUGACUUGAUGACAAAUAUUUCCUGGACAUUUUUUUUGAGGACACUGUUUUACAUAUGUAUAAUCCAAUACAAACAGUCAACAAUUGUAUAGAUAAUACAGAUACACUUACCCUCCCAACAAAUUACCCUAACACACUACACGCUACUGUACUCCAAGUUCAAUGACAUUUAAGUUGUUUGUAAGUUUACAUUUUCUAAUAAAACUGCUGAAAAUUCACACUGAAAUAAAUGCCCCUGUCAGUAACAUCAUUCUUUUGCCGGUCAGCCCCAUAUGAAAGGUGAAUAAAAACCAACAUUUUGUUUUCAAACUUUUUUUUAGGAACAGUUCAAUCACAGAUCUCAAAAUACAAAACUGAGUGACUGAAAAAAAAUCCAAUAAUUAUAAACAGGGCUACAUAGGAAUCUUAAGAUGCUACAGUAUGUAGGGGUUUAAGAGAACUCAAACUGAAUUGCCUAAUUUCAUUCAAGAAUACAAUGGAAGCACGAUUAAACAAAAGAUCAAUCGGAUUGUGAUCUAAACUUACAAGGAGCACAUCCUCAUCUAGUUGUGACAACAAAUUUGCAUGUUCAACCCAAGUGUGUAAAAUGAGGUUGAGGGUAGUUUCUAGAAGCUCACAGUCACACUGUUCAGAAUACAGAAGCCAGCAGCACGUUGGAUGAUGUGAUCCAUGUCACUGUUAAUCAACUUUUUAUUUUUUAUAUAGAAUGUAUAUUUACACAGACGCACAUUCAGACAUACAUUACAUAUAUACAAACAUAUACUGUUUGUUAGAGAACUGCAAUUCCCCCACAUUGGUGCAGUACCAUGACUUCAAAACAUCUGAUUUCCAAAAAACGUGAAAAGGGACUUCUUAAAUGUCCUUCCUAUGGAGUGUAGAAUCAUGUGGCAGUUAUUUGGAACGUAGAUAAGAGGUUCCCAAUGUUCUGCUGUUCCAAGGGACUUGGACCUGUGCCUUUUCACUUCAACUCCCAGCAUCUUCCUGGUCACUUGGUGUUUCCUCAUUUCCCCCCCCCCCCAUUGCAGUCUUUGUGCAAUGCAAAUGAAAACUGGGACCAGAAAGAUGCCAGCUUGGUGCUCUAAGUUGGCAUUGGACAAGAGACAUUUGAAUGACACAGUGGAAUACGAUGGAUAGCUUCUUUGCUCCGUGACUCGGAGCAUUUUAUUUACAGCGCAGCACACAGAGGGAUGAACCCAUAUACCAGACAGAUCCAUGUGAAAAGUCUCUCAAGUUACAUACAGCCCUAUUCCAUUCACUUCAGUUCUUCAAUCUUAUUACAAAACAUAAACCUUUCAUUCUCACCCCCCCACCGGACCUGCUGCAUCGACCAUAUCUGUGCUCUGAUGGAUCCUAUCACAACUCGAUGCCAAACCAACCGGUCACAGACAUUUCCAAAGCAUUCACGUCCAAAUUUGAGACCCGUCAACUAUCCCUGGACA